UGCCUUCAUAGCUUGGGCUUAUAUGAUUACAUGAUGUUUGGUUGCAUACAUGCAGUGACGUCUUCUUACGUUGUCUCGUACAUGGUAAGCUUACCAACUACACCUUACAUACGAUCACACCUAUAAAACAACAUUACAAAUCACGAUGAACUAGAUGAUGAGAUGAUGUUCUUCAUCCCACAUAGCCCAUAAUGACGAGGAGCCUUGCCUACUUCGACAUUGCUUGCAUGCUUGUGCACAUACUUGGAGUAAGCAUCCACUGCGUGGUGCCUAGUCUUAAACCCUUUGUAGGAGUCCUCUAGUAAUGAUUGACUUGUUCUUCGCAUGCAUUCAUGAAUUAUAAACCCUUGAAACCCUCCCUUUAUACAAAACAUACAACUUGUCAUAGCAUGGCAAAACAACAAAAGUUCCAGCUUCUAGCAAAGUAGCAGCAGUACACAUGGAACGGAUGAAACUAUGCAUGAUUAUAAGGCAGAGCAAGUUCAUCCUAACUACUAUUGUGUCAUCCUAUCACCACAUCCAAAAGAAGGUGUAAUCCUACCACCAAAUUUUUCAUCAGCGUGAGGGGUUAGUAUAUACCACCUCACAAAAAUAUACAAGCUAGCAUCAGAGUUCAAGCACUAACUACCACAAAAUGUACAUCGUCAUCGUCAUCGCCAUCGCCAUCAUCGUCGAGCAUCAUGCACACUAUGACCACCACUACCGAAAACAACACUAGUAGUAAUGCUUGCCGAGUCAGGUCCCGAACCAGAGCACCUAUGGGCGUCUGCCACGGCAACAAACCAUUUGAUGAACUGCCUUUUGCUACAUUUGAUGAACUGAAUCUAACACUGUAUCAAAUGAACUGAAGAUUUGCUCGUUGUUGCAAAUCUGUAUGUAGUUUUAACAUUGUCCAAGACUGAUAUCUGAAUUUGAAACUGAUACAGAGCUAGUACUGAUGUCUGUUCAAGCUAGUUUGCACAUGGACAGUGAAAUCUAUAUGUAUAUAGCUAGUUUGCACUGAUGUUGUUCAAGCUAGUUUGCACACACAGAGUGAAAUUUGGGUCUGGGGAUGAGAUUAUGUAGGGUUCGGUGUCGGGAACGAGCAAAACGAUAGAUGAUAAGGACGAGCUGGGAAUGACCGGACGGCCAGCGGCGGCGUAAGGACUAGGUUCCGGCCGGGCAUCCGGCCGUUCACUAGCUGGCGACCUCGGGACGCCUCAGGUUUGUACAGAAAAAUUGUUAAGAAUAGAAUAGUUGUUUAUUAAUAAAGCUAAUUAGGAUUAAGUUAACUGUUAGAUAGGUUGCUUGGUUCUCAAGCAACUAUGUACUUAAUUGGCUCUCAAUGCAACUAUGUAAUUCCUUGCCUCUCAAGUAACUUUGAGUUUAGUUGACUCCCAAGUAACAUGUGUACUUCCGCCCGGGUAUAAAUACCCCGCUUCUAUCAUCAAUAAAGACUAAUGGUUCAUUCAUAUAUCUAUUUCCAUUCGCUCAUCUCUCUCGAUUCUCUUAACACGUUAUCAGCACGCCUCUACCGAGAGUACAGGCCACAGAGAAGAACAAGAGAAACACAGCGACAACACUGGCGUGCGGCCGAGACAUCGACGACAUCGACGCCCUCCGGCGUCAAGGACGAACAACGUCGUCCUCGAUAAGAGCAGAUGAAGCAACUCCGGCGAUCCCCCACACACAUCACUGGCCUAGACUAAAGGAGAAAUCCGAGUCAAACAACGUGCUUUCUUUCUGAUUUUAUUCCUGCACAUAGCAAUUGUUUUGACAGGAACAAGAGAAGGAGAAGAAGGAAGAGCAGUCAGCAAAAAAUUCACAAGAAUUUAAGUCCCAUGGAAGAGAAAGCAAACAUCCUGGGCGCUAUUCUCCGAGGCGAUCAAGAAUACCAAUUAUGUACGCAACAAACUCUAUCAAUUAAGUACCUUUGACCUUCGCCAUGAAAGUGCAGAGUCCCAGCGCAUCCAAAGACUGCCCUCGGCACGCGCUAGACCGGCAGCACGGACGCCUCAGCCACAUUAGACCGGCUCCAGACGACAGCCUGCACGGCGUGGAGACUGGAGCGGACCUCCGUCGCGGCACAGGCACGCGGCGCCCGAGCACUCUUGGUCGGCAUCAAGGAGGCGACGGGACGCACAACGCCCUCCGGCAUGGCUGCUAGUAGACACGACCACUCCCGCGGCAUCAGGCCCUCAGCCACGGCACACGACAGGCAACACGCUCCAACGGCGCCCUCCGGCGCGCAGUAAUGGCUGACGCGGCAGGCCCUCCGGCCGGUUGCGGUGUAAAAUCCCUAGCCACACGGCAGGAAUUGGGGAUUUCUUAUCUCUUUGAUGAAUUUGUAAUUGAACCCCCAGGUUAUGUGAUAAUCCCAUAUAAGUCGUUAUGUUCUAUGUUCAGCCAUCAGGUUAACAAAACUUUGUGGUUUAACCCUCAGUUCAUCCCAAAUUACAUACAACAUAAUUAUACACCAUUUUACAAUGGGUAAAAUUUUGAUUUGAAGACCUCCUGUCUUCAUACGUUUGCAUAAGUAUGUGAUUUUUUCCCACAUAUAUGUAUUACCACAUUAAUACUAU
rnacentral:rRNA from 1 species